rnacentral:rRNA from 1 species
CCUACGGGAGGCUGCAGUGGGGAAUAUUGCACAAUGGGGGGAACCCUGAUGCAGCAACGCCGCGUGGGUGAAGAAGUACUCCGGUAUGUAAAGCCCUGUCAGCAGGGGAGAAAAUGACGGUACCUGACCAAGAAGCCCCGGCUAACUACGUGCCAGCAGCCGCGGUAAUAAGUAGGGGGCAAGCGUUAUCCGGAUUUGCUGGGUGUAAAGGGAGCGGAGAGGGCAAUGCAAGUCUGGAGGGAAAGCCCGGGGCCCAACCACGGGACUGCUUUGGAAACUGUGUUGCUGGAGUGUAGGAGGGGUAAGCGGAAUGCCUAGUGUAGCGGUGAAAUGCGUAGAUAUUAGGAGGAACACCGGUGGCGAAGGCGGCUUACUGGACUGUAACUGACGUUGAGGCUCGAAGGCGUGGGGAGCAAACAGGAUUAGAUACCCCGGUAGUC